GAGAAGAGUAGAGAGCGAUGAAGGUGGCUGGAAAAGUGGCCGCCGGCGGGCAAACUCCGGUGACCAGAAGGAGUAAAGGAGGAUUAAGCAUGUGGGAGGGAGACUUUUGAAAUGGAGACGUCAUUGGAUUUCAGAUAGGAAGACAAGCGCGGACAUCGUUAGAGGAUUCUGAUCCCUUCUUCGGAUCAAGAAUUUAGCUUCAAAAGGUGGGCUCUUCACCCAAAUGGAGAAGAAUCAAGAAGAAAGAAAAGAGAGGAGAGGAAGA